GUAUUUAUUAUCGUUGUGUGAAUGAAUAAACUGGUUAUACAGGUUUUUGAAGGUGAUAUAUGCCCAAUGGUGCGGAAAUCAAGAUUUCCUCGUGCACAGAUUUGUAGGUUUAGUCAUUCGACAGGCAAGCAGGGUAGAGCGAAGACUUGAUUUAAAUCGUUUUAUUUAUUUUCUCAACCACAUUUAAUUGUGAAAUUUGAUUUAUUUUUGUGUCGUAUUGGCGUUGGCAAUUUAUUAAUUAAACAGUCAGGAUGAGAGGAGAGAUCGCUUCGCCGGCGGGGACAGGGUUGGCACAGUAAAUGGACACACGUAGCGACCACGUGGUAGCGGUCAAGAAGGAGCGCGGUUUUUACUCGGUCAGUACACUGCCGCAUAUGAAACAGCAAUACGCAGCAACACUGUGCUUGAUGCAGGUUACGAUCCUAUUUCCCGUCCCAAUGCUACCACAGAGGUCAAAGUCGGCAUCGGCAUCCUAGGUAUCGAUCAACUGGAUCUUCUUAACCAGAUGUUCACAGUUGCUGGUUGGAUGGAGCUGAAAUGGAGGGACGAGAGACUGAAAUGGACCCCGGCAGCAGCGAAUGGAAACAUAAAGAUUGUCUUCUCAACGAGCGACAUUAUAUGGAAACAGGAAUUAGUCAUAGACAAUGCGUUAGAGGACCUAGGCUUGAUAACGGCAGACAAUCUCAACCUUAGAUAUGAUUUUGAAGGAGAUGUGGAGUGGGAACCACCUGUACUUUUCAACGUCCAUU